UACGGAGGGGGCUAGCGUUGUUCGGAAUUACUGGGCGUAAAGCGCACGUAGGCGGAUUGUUAAGUCGGGGGUGAAAUCCUGGAGCUCAACUCCAGAACUGCCUUCGAUACUGGCGAUCUAGAGCCCGGGAGAGGUGAGUGGAACUGCGAGUGUAGAGGUGAAAUUCGUAGAUAUUCGCAAGAACACCAGUGGCGAAGGCGGCUCACUGGCCCGGUACUGACGCUGAGGUGCGAAAGCGUGGGGAGCAAACAGG
rnacentral:rRNA from 1 species